rnacentral:rRNA from 1 species
AACGAACGCUGGCGGCAGGCCUAACACAUGCAAGUCGAGCGGGCGUAGCAAUACGUCAGCGGCGGACGGGUGAGUAACACGUGGGAAUAUGCCUUUCGGUUUGGAACAACUCGGGGAAACCCGUCGCUAAUUCCGGAUACGCCCUUAGGGGAAGGAUUAUCGCCGAAAGAUUAGCCGCGUCCGAUUAGCUAGUUGGUGAGGUAACGGCCCACCAAGGCGACGAUCGGUAGCUGGUUUGAGAGAACGACCAGCCACACUGGGACUGAGACACGGCCCAGACUCCUACGGGGGCGAGCAGU